AACGAACGCUGGCGGCGUGGAUAAGACAUGCAAGUCGAACGCUGAUUACAGGGUAGCAAUAUUCUGUAGUCGGAGUGGCGCAAGGGUGCGUAACACGUGGGCAAUCUGCCGUGAAGUCUGGAAUAACUUGCUGAAAGGCGAGCUAAUGCCGGAUGUGACAACUGGAAGGCAUCUUUUGGUUGUCAAAGUUGGGGACCGCAAGGCCUGACGCUUCACGAUGAACCCGCGGCCUAUCAGCUAGUUGGUGAGGUAACGGCUCACCAAGGCUAAGACGGGUAGCUGGUCUGAGAGGACGACCAGCCACACUGGAACUGAGACACGGUCCAGACACCUACGGGUGGCAG
rnacentral:rRNA from 1 species